CCCUUAGAUGUCCGGGGCUGCACGCGCGCUACACUGAAGGAAUCAGCGUGCUAAAACCAUUGUCGAAAGGCAUUGGUAAACCCAUUAAAAUCCUACGUGAUUGGGAUCGGGAAUUGCAAUUAUUUCCCUUGAACGAGGAAUUCCCAGUAAGUGUGGGUCAUAAGCUCGCGUUGAUUACGUCCCUGCCCUUUGUACACACCGCCCGUCGCUGCCCGGGACUGAGCCGUUUCGAGAAAAGCGGGGACUGCUGCUGUCGGGGCUUUCGGGCCUUGGCUUCGGUGGAAACCGCUUUAAUCGCAGCGGCUUGAACCGGGCAAAAGUCGUANCA
rnacentral:rRNA from 1 species